GUGGGGAAUAUUGCACAAUGGGGGAAACCCUGAUGCAGCAACGCCGCGUGCGGGAUGAAGGCCUUCGGGUCGUAAACCGCUGUCAGGGGGGAAGAAAUCGCUCCGGUGAAUAGCCGGAGUGGAUGACGGUACCCCCAGAGGAAGCCCCGGCUAACUCCGUGCCAGCAGCCGCGGUAAGACGGAGGGGGCGAGCGUUGUUCGGAAUCAUUGGGCGUAAAGCGCGCGUAGGCGGUCGAGUAAGUCGGACGUGAAAGCCCAGGGCUCAACCCUGGAAGUGCGUUCGAUACUGCACGACUUGAGUACGGGAGAGGAGAGUGGAAUUCCCAGUGUAGCGGUGAAAUGCGUAGAUAUUGGGAGGAACACCAGUGGCGAAGGCGGCUCUCUGGACCGUCACUGACGCUGAGGCGCGAAAGCUAGGGGAGCAAACGGG
rnacentral:rRNA from 1 species